AUGAUCACGGUUCUCUUUUGUAUUACUUUGAGCGCAGCAGCGUCAGGUCUACUUCAUGAGAAAGUCCACCAGGAUCCGCCUGACAUUCACAAGCGUCCCGGAGAAUCAUCCAAAAUCCGCUGCUCGCACGCAAUCGACAACUACGAUGAAAUUCUUUGGUACAAGCAAACAUCGAUCGGCGGACAGCUGCAGUUCCUCGGACGGGUGGAGAACAGCUUCAGGUACCCGGAGGCCGGCAUGAAUGUGAGUUUGGAGGGAAGUGCAGAUAAAGGCCAGACCUGCACCUUAACAAUCGAAGGACUCACCUCGAGGAGCAGCGCGGUUUACUUCUGCGCCGCUCGCUACCACAGUGCUGAAAGUUAA